rnacentral:rRNA from 2 species
AAACGAUUGAAGUCAGUCGUACCGGUGGGUAAUCAGCCAUUCGGGUGUGAUUAUGUUGGUAAUGGGAAGAUCCCACGCUCGCAUAUUCAUGCCUCAUUGGUGUACUUACUCGCAUGGUAGGUUAACAUCAAUUCUGGUCGUCAUAAAAUGAUGAGAGGAAUGUAGUUUCGAUCUCGCAUUGAAGUGUUAUAGCCUUUUGUAAAUGUAGUGACCGGGAUUGAGGAUUGCAACGAACUCUUCGGGGCUACUCGUCUGAUCUCUGGUAGUUACUUUGGUGCUGAAAGCAUGCUUAUGGUUAUCAAAGUUGAUUGCUAAAAGGUUAGAGCGGGAUAAAUUUGUUAAGGAUGUUGACGUAAUGGCUUUAAACGA